CCAGACCUUUCAUUAUUUUUACUUUAAGUUACAUUCCUGUUGAGAUGCUAAUGCUUUUUAUUUUGACAUUUCAUCAGCUGUAAAGAGAGGUAACAAUCUGACAUUGACUGUGGAUGGCAAGUCCAUCAUGCAACAGGGCAGUAAAAGCACUUCAGUUGCUGCAGACACCAAUGAUCCACUUUAUAUUGGUGGUUUAACAGAUAUGUCAGCUAAAGGUGUUCUUGCCACAGGAAACUAUUCUGGUUGUAUUCGUAAUGUUUACAUAAAUAGACAAUUUUACUCUCUGUAUGUUACAGCCAAUGGAGAUGUUAGAAAUGAUGCAUGCCAAUUAGAUUAAAAGAAUGUUAGUAAUUGAUACUAAUUAUAGCUUCUUUUGUUUUAAAAGUUUAACUAGAACUAGUUUAGGAACUCAUGAAAAAGACCAAAUUUUU
rnacentral:sRNA from 1 species